rnacentral:rRNA from 1 species
AAAAACAUGGCUCUUUGAAUUUUUAGUAUAAAGAGUCGAGCCUGCCCAGUGACAAAGUUUAACGGCCGCGGUACUCUGACCGUGCAAAGGUAGCAUAAUCAUUUGCCCUGUAAUUGAGGGCUAGUAUGAAUGGUUUGACAAGAGCAAAACUGUCUCCUUAAAAUUUAUUAGAAUUUAGUUUUUAGGUGAAGAAACCUAAAUAAAAUUGAAAGACAAGAAGACCCUAUCGAGCUUUAAAAAAUUUUACUAAAAAAUGUAUAUUAGUUAAUCAGUUUUAAUAAAAAAUUUUGGUUGGGGCGACUAAGGAACAAAAAAAGCUUCCUUCAAUUUCAAAGACCUAUAAGUUUUGAUCCAGAAAAUUUUGAUUAAAAGAAUUAGUUACCGUAGGGAUAACAGCAUAAUCUUCUUUGAGAGUUCUUAUCGAAAAGAAGGUUUGUGACCUCGAUGUUGGACUAGGAUAUCCUAGAGAUGUAGAAGUCUUUAAGGGUUGGUCUGUUCGACCAUUAAAAUCCUACGUGAU